GAUGAAGAACGUAGCGAAAUGCGAUAAGUAAUGUGAAUUGCAGAAUUCAGUGAAUCAUCGAAUCUUUGAACGCACCUUGCGCUCCUUGGUAUUCCGAGGAGCAUGCCUGUUUGAGUGUCAUGAAAUUCUCAACCUUUUCAGCUUUCUUUGUUGAUCAGGCUUGGAUGUGGGAGUAUGCGGGCUUCUCAGAAGUCGGCUCUCCUGAAAUGCAUUAGCGGGACCUUUGUUGCCUGGCUUUGGUGUGAUAAUUAUCUACGCCAUUGUAGUCAAGCAGCUUAAAAUGAGGUUUCAGCUUCUAACCGUCUCCCCUGAGACAACUUUUUGACAAUUUGACCUCAAAUCAGGUAGGACUACCCGCUGAACUUAAGCAUAUCAAAGCGGAGGA
rnacentral:misc_RNA from 1 species